UCCGUUAGAGUGCUUGACCUACAGUGGCUGCUGGCACACCCUGAGGACAUUCUCCGGCUCUGCUUUACAAGAUCAGGGUUUACGUUGUCCUGCCUUCUGCUGGGUCCUAUAAACACCAGACAAUGCAUUUUGUAAGAGUUUCCUAUUGAUGGUUUGUUUUCAUCUGAUGGUUUUAGCAUGGCUUUUUGUAUACCACCAACACAUAGUCACAUUUUUGCAGCUUUAUACUGAUUAUUGUUGCUGGGAUAAGCACUGCAGCUGACCCCACUAUUUGCACAGAAAUGAAUCCGUUGUUGAUCCUGCAGCCUUGCAGUGGGUGUACUGGUUGCAUGGCUGGCAGCUUUCUUUUCCAGGCAACAUGAGGCCACAUCAGGCAAUUGAAUUGACCCAGACAGAAAUGCAAUAGCGCUUAGGACUUUUUUGAGGCACUUCACAAGAAUUUUACCUCUUCAGCUACCAAACCUGUGGCUUUAAUACAUCAUGGAAGAAUUCCAGUCUCUGGUACAGUUAGUAGUAACUUUCAACUUUAAGGCUGUAAUCAUGUAACAUAGAAAUCAGGUGAAUAUUUUUCAUAAGUGUCAAUUCUAAUAGAUCUGUUUACUUACAGUAAAAUGUAUUUGCGUUCCUAUGCACCACUUUCCUUCCCUCCAACCCAUUCAUCUACUUCUCCACCAAAUCAAAGAUUUCCACCUCCAAAUGGAAAUGAUCACCUAUCAGAGGCCCUUCUGGACCAUUUUUUCCAUUAGUUUGCUAAUCCAAUCUGCAGUGCAGAGCCAGGGGUAAGAAAUUGUCCAAGUAUGAGGAGGUGUAGAAAGAAGCCGAAACAUGAUUUGUGUAAUGCUAGAGUUGAACCUAAAGCUGUGAAAAACAUAUAAAUAACGUAAAAUAUGCUCAGGUUUGAGUAAGCUUUAGUUGUUAAGUGUUCUGCCCAAAAGUGGCAUUUCAGUGGGCUUAGAACUGUUCAAAAAGUCAGCAUAAAUUUUUCAUUUUUGAGGGUGAGAGGGAGAAAAGAGAAAGAGAUACAUAAUGAUAGAUUACUUGAUUUAAAAGCCACCUGUCUCCUUUCUUUCAAUAGUUCAUUUGGCAAGGGACUCAUUCAAAAUGCAGAAAAUAAGGCUUUAGUUUCCUCAUCUGCCUGAGGAGAUCUGAGCCCACCUUAAUUUCCCAGUAACAGCCCCUAAUCACCAGACCGUUCAGUAUCUCACAGUGCAGGAGGGAGAGAGAAGAAAGAUUGUUUUUUCAAUACCUCCGAUGGAAUAUAUUCUACUUUGUUUACAAUAUUGAAAUAUUCAUGACAGUGAUGUCCUGCCUCUCCGCUGCAGAGCCUAAACACCAUGAUAUAGAGUUGUUCUCUCUGGCUUAAUGAAUAUUUCAAUAUUCUAUAUACAGUGGAACAACAUCAACAGGGGAAAAAAAACAAAACAGAAAGUAUUUCCCAGCAGAAAAUUCCCCCAUGAAAUAGCUGUAACUUCCUUCUCUAGGUUCAGAUCUCUGUGUGAAAAGUGAGAACUGAACCCCAAUCUUCUACCUCCUGGCUGGACUUUGCAACCACUGAGAAAAGAGGUGGCAGUGCUUGUUUGGGGCAUUUUUAAAAAAUAUUAUUUCCUUUUUUUUUUUAAUGGAAGAGGCCAAAAUAGAAAUGUGUUGCUUUAUUUUUUCAUUUAAUCAAGAAAACUUCAUAUUAGUUCAUUGGGCCUUGCCAGGUUUUGUUCCCAAACUUGAGAAUUUGUUAAUUUGCAUGCCUCCUGACUUAUAAUUGGUGGAAAAGUAUCAGGGGAAGGUAAGAUAAAUUUGCAGCUGUCUAAUGUGAAGAUCAAAAAAUACUCUCUGGAAAUAUGAUGUUAGCAAUUUUGGAGUUACCUUCUGAUUGUCUGCUAAUGAUGUAAGAUCAAAUAUAGUCCAUUUACAAAUUAAAAGGGUUUGUGGGUUUUUUUUUUCCCUUUACUGGUAGAUACAGAAAUUCCACAUGAAAGUUGUUUGCUCCAUGAACAUGGGGAGCAGGUCUUUCAAAUAAGGACUAUUUCUGAACACAUGCUUUUCAGGGUAUUGCUGCUGUUUUAGAAAUGACCUGUUGGAUUUACUUCAAACCUUAGCAGAAAAAUAUCUCUCCUGGCUGUACACCAAAGUACCUGAAAUUUCAGGCUGUUGGGGGUUGUCCUACCUCUAUUUUUUGAUCAAAGUGGGAGUAAGAGGUUCACAAUCUGGUUUAUUAAGAACAAUGUCAUACAGCUUUAAAUGUAACCCUUUUAGUUUUUUACCGUUUUACCUUUUUGGUUAAGAUGAGUUGCAAUUCAUGCCAAAAAAUGCCCUGCCAGCACUGAGGCUCCUGUUUCAUUGCUUUAUUAGGUCUUGAGCUACAUGAUUAGCCUGAGGGAUAGAUUCACAAAUAACAGCUGCUCAGCUGGGGUGUUUCCUUAAUCCAUGCUUCUCCCUUUCAGAAUCAAAGCCAUACCGAGGUACGAGAAAAUUAUCUCUACCCUACAGAGCUCUAUAGAGUGAGUAGAGAAGCGAAUAAAUGGGCAUGUCUCUACUGGAAAUCUUGUAGAGGCUAAGAUGAGAAAACUGCACUUCAAUGAUGGAAAUACUCUCUGUUGACACAUUUAAUCUAAAUUAAUUUUUUCGUCUUUAUGCAGCAAACUAAGAUCUAAACUGCCUGGGGCAUUGGAAAAAGCAAGCCCCAAAAGAUAGCUGUAACCAUGCUGUGGUGUAAGCAGUACCAUGGAAGUGCUGAGAAUGUUUUUAGUGCUAAUUAUUGUACAUAAUAAAACAUAUUUAUCUUCCUGCUUAGGAAAUCCUGUGGAUGUGCUGCAUUCGUCCAUUCCUACCGCUCUGAUACUUUCCUUCAUAUAUACUUAGUAAUAUUUUUCAUAAAGAAAAUAGUAAGAAAAUAUAAAAUAUGGAACCCAAUUAUUUACUUAUUUACUCUGACAUAAAUAGCAGCAGUUUCACUGAGCUCAAUUAACCUAAGCGUCAAUUGAUGAAAUCACUCUGGAGUUAUUGGUUGCAAUAGAAACUUACUCUUUUAUAUUAAUUGGAAAACUGGUUAACUGAAGCUAAAGUGGUAUGAAUGAAAGUAAAUGAGAAGAGAAUCAGUACCAUUUGUUUAUUGUUUUUAUAUCUACUGUGGUUUUCUGAUACUGUUAUGUGAAAUAAUUCAAUGAGUAUCUUACAGCCAGCUAAGUAGAACCUGAUGGCAAAACCCCCUGUCUAUUUUCUAGCUGUAAUGAACCAAAUUCCUUUAAUACUAAGACCACUCUUCUCUGUCUGAAAGUUUUUGGAUGUGUUUGGGAUAUAUUUUGAGAUAACAGGAAUUAUUGUGCUAGUUGCAGAAAGAUUUUCUGUCACUUUAUCAGCCUGAGUUUUUGAAGUCAGACCCAUAGGGUAAGUAGGGCUGCAUUAAGAGGUGAAAUACAAAUCAAAGGGAAGAAAAACAUGACUUUUAAUUCUUGGCCUAUCGGACUCAUGUGGAUAUGUACUCUCCAUGCACACGAGUGUGUUCGUGCAUAAUUGGAGCUCAAGAGAAGGUUGAGGGAGUAGAUGCAAGAUAAAUGGUUCCUAUAAGAGCAACAUGCCCAGUACUUUUUUUGUAAUUUUAAAGCAUCUCUCUCCUCUGAAGAAAUUAUUACAGUUAUUGUCCCUUCAUUACUCUAGAGGUCUGUUUUCUGCAAGGAUUGAGCAUAAAAUAUGCCACUGCUAGUGACAUAAAUAGUGUUUUAUUUCUGCUAGCUGUGCAGAAAAGCACUUCAGGGAGAGGGAAGUAGGAUUCUGCCCUUCCUUUUGCCUCAUGGAGGGAAUAUCUGACUAGUUUCCCAUCAAGACUUCACUCUGUAUAGCUAUAAAAGUGGUGGAAUUACAGAGUUGUAUUUCAGACAAUGAUUUGAAGCUUUGCAUAGGUCAAAGUCAGGCCAUACCCUCUGUCAGCUCGAAGGGAGAUGGACGGGAACCGGCACGUAUCUGAAAGUCUGAGGAUGUAAUUGCUGACUUUCUGCAGAGCUGACUGAGAUGCAAAGUCAAACCAGCAUUCUGGAUUGGACAUUUCACGUGUGAAACUGGCACCAAACUUCAAAAAGAAGCAAACACGGGGAAUCUGAGUGACAAUACAAGUCCCUAGGACUCACUGAGAGGUCCAGCCUUGAACCUCUAUCCAGACUGAGGCCAGUUUACACCAGCUGUGAUAUAAGAACAUGAAACUGCAUAGAAGAUAGGCUAAGCAUCUUCCCUAUGAAUGCUCAAAAUCAGAAGGGCUUUAUUUUCAGUUUUCCAAUGGAAAAAGUAUGAGGGACACCAUUUUAGCUCAAACCCCAAGUCUUGUUGACAACAGGAUGAUUCUAGUUAAAUGGCUUCUGUCAGGACAAGUCACUUGCAAGCCCAAUUUUUUUACUUUUAAUAAGAUGUAAGAUCUAGCACCUUUGAAGUCCAGAGUUUUUAAAUAUCCAAGACACCCAGAACCCAACUGCCUUCAAAUUACUUCAGUGGGAGUUAGAUACUUACCUGUUUUUGAAGAACUGGUUGAACUGAUACAUAAAAAUGGGACUUCAGUUCUGAAAGAUCUCCACAAUUUUUGAAUCCAUUUCUUUUUCUAAUUGUGUAGCAUGUAAGUGUGGUUUGGCAAAACUUUGUCAUAAAAUGAAAUCCAAGGAUAACUUCGGACUUAAUUUUUUUCAUACUUUCCAGCAUCAGUGGUAACUUCAGUAAUUGGGUAUGGUCUGGCCCCAUUCCUAAUUCUGAUACAGAGCAGAGGGUACUUGAUACAAAACCGUGAACUAUUUUUAGACAAUAUAAAAGAAAUUAGCUACAUGAAUGGCUGCUGUGCAGCAGAGUGCACUGAAGGGUCUUUUAAAAAAAUACGCCAAGUCUGGAGGACAGAGACAUGUUUUCAUGACUUGUAAACCUGGUUACUGCAAGGUGAGCAUUUCCUUCACAUUUCUUAUUUGGGCCCUAAAUCAGUGACUCUCACAUGAGCAUGCAUAUGAACAACCACCAGCAGAUGAAUAGGACAGUUCCUGAGCAUCAUCUGAACUGAUCUGUCUCUGUAGGCUAUGGCAUAGUCACUGCUUCCUUAAAGUCCAACAAUGAGUAGUUCCCUUUUGCAACCAGUUCCCCAAACUGGCCCAGGGAUACAUGAAGCCCUUCACAGCAUUGCCAAAACAGAAAAGAAAUGAACUGUUCAACCAGCCCAGACAUCAUUUAUCUUUAAUAUUAGUGCUCCUGGUGCCUUGAGCCCAAAUGCAACUGUGUAUAAGAUGGAAGUAUGAGGCCCUGCCCUAUGCUUAUACAAUGAAACUAAUAAACAUUUCAAGAUCAGCAGUGACUAGAAAUCUCCAUUCUCAACUAAAUCAGAUCCUGCCUUAUAGAUGAUAUUGUCAAUGACUGUUCAAUGACCUCUGGUAGCUGAUCUCUGGUAAACCUCUACAUAAACCACAGAUGCUGUCAUGUUUAGUGGUACAAGCCACAAGACCAAAGACGUAAAUAGCUUGAAGACAGAACUGUUAUUUUCCUGCACUGUAGUGUUUUCUGUAGGUCAGAGCGAGGGUGUAUCAGCAUGGACAGCAUGGGUCAACUUCAAGCUCACUAAGAAGCAGUUUAUGCUAGAGCAAAACCCUUGUACAGGGCUGACUGGUGCUGAGUAUCAGGAGGCAUUGCCACGAAUGUUGUAAACCCUAUUCCCACCCAUCCAAAAUCCUCCUGCACAGAAAUCCUCAAACAUGCAAGCGACCAAAACAGGGGUGAAAUAAAAGUAACAAAUGGAUGUUUAUCAUUUAAUCUAUUUUUUAUGCAGUUGGAAAUAAAAACCAUUG